GAUGAACGCUGGCGGCGUGCCUAAUACAUGCAAGUCGAGCGAACAGACGAGGAGCUUGCUCCUCUGACGUUAGCGGCGGACGGGUGAGUAACACGUGGAUCACCUACCUAUAAGACUGGGAUAACUUCGGGAAACCGGAGCUAAUACCGGCUCAUAUAUUGAACCGCAUGGUUCAAUAGUGAAUGACGGUUUUGCUGUCUCUUAUAGAUGGAUCCGCGCCGCAUUAGCUAGUUGGUAAGGUAACGGCUUACCAAGGCGACGAUGCGUAGCCGACCUGAGAGGAUGAUCGGCCACACUGGAACUGAGACACGGUCCAGACUCCUACGGGAGGCAGCAGUAGGGAAUCUUCGGCAAUGGGCGAAAGCCUGACGGAGCAACGCCGCGUGAGUGAUGAAGGUCUUCGGAUCGUAAAACUCUGUUAUUAGGGAAGAACAAAUGUGUAAGUAAACAUGGACGUCUUGACGGUACCUAAACAGAAAGCCACGGCUAACUACGUG
rnacentral:rRNA from 1 species